GGGGGGGAUAUGCCGAUGCCUGUGAUCCGUUUCCUUCCGUUUUUUAUGUUUUUUGGUUUCCGAACUGCUUCUUGUUGUGUUGUUGCCGAUGAUGGUUUCCUUUCCUCUUUGUUUUUUUAUGUUAUUUAUUUAUUAUUAAAUUUUGUUCAUUUUGUUUAAAUUAAUUUUUUAUUGUUUUCACGCCCGAUUAUUGCACUAUCAUUAAACGCGCCCGUCUUGAUAUUUGUGGCACUUUUAUUAUCCGCGCCCGGUUCCUGAAGGGUUUUUUUUGUAACUUUCGACUUUUGCCACACAAUCUUUAAACUUUAUAGUCAGCCCUAUUCUGCAUUUCUACUCGAAUCGAAAUUUUCUCCGAUUGGCCACUUUGGUAUUCUGCGUUUCGAUUCAACUUCGAAAAUUCCAAUUCUAUGUAUUCUGCAUUGCGAUCGUAAUUACGUUUUUGUACGUUGAAGUUUUGUUGGCGGAAAGCCGUUAUAUAUUCAUUUUCGUGCAUUUGGAUAAAAUAAUUUCCUCAAAUAUGUCAAAAGUAACAACGGCAGAGCAAUACGAAAAAUUGUGUGAUAUGAUGGCCACGAAAAGAGAUAUUGCGCACGGCUUCCAAAAGCGACCGAAGGAAGAAGUACAGGAGUUUUGGGAGGAGGUUGCAAGGAAUUUAAAUGCACUUGGCCCACCAACAAAAGAUUCCAAUACAUGGAGAAAGAUCUAGAUUGACUGGAAAUGCUACAUGAAGCGAAAAUUAUCGCAUAACAAAAAAGAAAGGAUGAGCACCGAUGGAGGUCCUUGCCGUUUACAACGCAUAAGCCCACUUGAUGAAAAGGUGAUAGCUUUGACGGGUUUGGAAACGGAUGAUAUCCCUUCAACCAGUAGAGCUAGCAGCCAAAAUAGAGAGGCGAGGGCAGACAAGCAGAGCACUUCUUCAUUACUUAAGCAACAGAUACAAAUCAAAACGAAUUUUAUGCAGAGACGAAAAAAUUCAAUGAAGCUGCCUUUGGUAAAAUGGAAGAAGUUACUUCAUAUUUACGACACAUGAAUCGUUCUCUAGAAACUUUGGCGGAGACUGCAGUGAAGCAACCUGAAGAACAGAAGCGACACAAUAGAAUUAAGGAAGAGCUGGUGAAGGAAAAAGUAGAAAUAAAAAUGCAAAUGCUAAGAUUAGGUCCAAAUUAUAAGCCGGAUUCAAAGUAGUCAUUUUUUAAUUGUUAGCCUUUUAUUUAUUUUACUAUUAUUCAUUUAUAUAACGAGCUGUGAAAUUAAAUAAAAGCAUUUACUUUUUUAAUAUAGGAGCUGUAAAAUGCACUGAAUGCAAUUGUUUUUAUUUAAUAGAGUAAUGUAGGGCAUA